UCAACGGAUCAAGACUCUCUCAGCUCUCAUGGAUCCAUUUCUGCUCCUGUUGCUCAUUCUGUCUGAAGCAGCUCCUGACAAUACAAUUGUGCCAUUACUCCCUGGUAGUCCCAAGGGCCGUCAGUCGGAUACCACACUCAAACAAAUGAGCAAUCAGAACAACUCAACCAGCAGCUUGAGAUGGGCCUGCGUUGUCUGGCGUCCCAGAACCCCACCUCCUCUACCAAGCAGCUGAUAUUGAUAUUGAUAAAAUUGCAGAUAUCCUGAUCCACCCUCCACACCAGAUGGUGGCGGUAAUGCACCAAGAAGAAGAAGAAGAAGACACCUACUGCCAUGUUACUUCACCAACAG